CAGCCAUAUAGUGUUAAAACACUGGUUCCAGUAUGAUCACUGAAGUUAAGCAAUGUCAAGCCUGGUCAGUACUUAGAUGGAUGACUGCUUGGAAAUAGCAGCUACUGUAAG